CUAAUGUCAAACAUCUACCCAUUAUUUAGUAAUAGGCACCCAGAUUUCAUUCUAACACUUGAACCUGUGACCUUGCACAGGAGAAGUAGCUAGAAGUUGGAUGGAUCGGUGAAAAAAAUAUAGCAACUAAAAAGUGGCAGUACUGGGACCGAGGAAGACGACCCAUCCACCCUCCAGUCACUAAUCCAAUGCUGUACAGGACACAAGACAGGAGCAGACCAUGGGUGAGAUGCCUAUCCUUCAGCGUGAACUUCUGCAUCUUGAAGAAUCCGUGGAAAUCACUACCCAGGAUUUUCACCUGUGGACACCCAUAGAGAAAACCUUCAGAGACAUGGAGAGAACAUGCAAACUCCACACACCCACAGAGCCAGGGACAGAACUACAACCCUGGUACCCACUGUACAAAGAAACUCAAGGAAUGUACACCACUUGAUGAUAUAUGAAGUGACCACACCCUUGUUUAAUGAAGCAACGAACUACACAAUAAUAUACCAGUUCACAAAUUCAUUAAAUGUUUUUUUUCUUCUACGGUGAA